CAGAUUGUCACAGAGCCUAUGUUUUGCAAGACACUGCAUAUUCAACGGUGAGGGACAAAAUGGAUACAGAGUUUGGACGACUUUGUGAACAAAUUAAAGAAUCUCGUGAGAAAAGAGGUCGCACCUCUCCAGCAUGUGCUCCAUGCGACAACACCAAGUCACCACAGCAGAACCCUGCUACUGAAGACGACAAACCAGAUGAAGAGAGUAAUGAAAAUGAGGAGAUGACAGCGGCACCUGUAGAUGCCAGUACACCCAUUUCUAAUGGUAA